AGAAGUGUAGCUUAAUUGGUAAAGCGUAUGAUUCCAAAUCAUAAGACUGAAGGUUCGAGUCCUUUCAUUUCUG
rnacentral:tRNA from 1 species